rnacentral:lncRNA from 1 species
UUAAAUUCAUUUUUCACAAAAUCACACCUCAAAUACAUCAAAUUUCUUUUCCACAAAAUCACAAAUAAUGUCCUAAAUGCAAACUAAAAGUUUGGAAGGAGCCCUUACCCUAACGAUAGCUCUAACAUGCGAUUACGGUAGUGUAAUUAAUUCCGAUAAAAUUUAAGUUCGUGACGUCGCGUCGAAAACUAGAUCACUAACACCGCAGCGUGGCGAUGAGUAAUUUUCUCUUCUGUCACUUCUCGAAUGGAAGCUUAGAUCUAGUAAAUAAAUGGGGGUUUGUGUUUUAUGGUUUUAGUUUUGUUUUUGGAAAACAAAGGAAAGAAGGAGAAGAAGUUUAACGAUUGCUUUCUGUUUCUCUGUGCCCGUUUCCUUGCUUUCUUC